rnacentral:rRNA from 1 species
AGCUGAUCCUGCUGGAGAGUAUUGCUAUUGGAGUUCUGUUAAGCCAUGCAAGUCCUAAAGACACGGCAAGUGUUUUUGGCGAACGGCUCAGUAACGCGUGGAUAACCUACCCUUAGGAAGGGCGAAACUCGGGAAACUGAGUAUAAUCCCCUAUAGGCAAUAGAUACUGGAAGGUUCUUUUGCUUAAAUGGUCUCACCUAUUGCCGGUGAGUUCCGCCUGAGGAUGGGUCUGCGUCGGAUUAGGUUGUCGGCGGGGUAAUGCCCACCAAGCCUUGAAUCCGUACGGGCCUUGAGAGAGGUUGCCCGGAGAAGGGAACUGAGAUAAGGUCCCUAGCCCUAUGGGGUGCAGCAGGCGAGAAACCUCUACAAUGCGCGAAAGCGUGAUAGGGGGACUCCAAGUGCUAGCAUAACCUGUUAGCUUUUGUUAAGUUUAGAUAGCUUGGCGAAUAAGUGGGGGGUAAGACACGUGCCAGCCGCCGCGGUAAUACGUGCCCCAUGAGUGGUACCCGCGAAUAUUGGGCCUAAAGCGUUUGUAGCCGGCCUGUCAAGUCCUUGGUGAAAUCUGCACGCUUAACGUGUAGAAUUGCCUGGGAUACUGUCAGACUUGGGACCGGGAGAAGCUGAAGGUAUUCCGGAGGUAGGAGUGAAAUCCUGUAAUCUUCGGAGGACCACCCGUAGCGAAGGCGUUCAGCUAGAACGGGUCCGACGGUGAGAGACGAAAGCUGGGGGAGCAACCCGGAUUAGAUACCCGGUUAGUCCCAGCCGUAAACGAUGCGGACUAGGUGUCCUAGUAGCUUCGAGCUAUGGGGGUGCCGAAGGGAAGCCAUUAAGUCCGCCGCCUGGGAAGUACGGUCGCAAGGCUGAAACUUAAAGGAAUUGGCGGGGAGGCACUACCAGGGGUGGAUGCUGUGGUUUAAUUGGAUGAAACCCCGGACAACUCACUAGGGGAGACAGCAGAAUGACGGUCAGCCUGAAGGGCUUACCUGACGCGCUGAGAGGUGCUGUAUGGCCAUCGUCAGCCCGUACUGUGAAGCGUCCUGUUAACUCAGGUAACGGGCGAGACCCGUGCUUUCAGUCGCUACUUUCUUCUCCGGAAGAAGGGCACUCUGAAGGGACUGCCAGGGCAACCUGGAGGAAGGAGCGGGCCACGGUAGGUCUGUAUAGCCCGAAACUCCUAGGCGACACACGGCAUACAAUGGUUAGGACAAUGGGACCCAAACCCGAAAGGGUAAGGAAAACUCCGAAACCUAUCCUUAGUGCGAAUUGAGGGCUGCAACCCGCUCUCAUGAAGAUGGAAUCCCCAGUAAUCGCGCGUCAUUAUCGCGCGGUGAACACGUCACUGCCUCUUGC